rnacentral:lncRNA from 1 species
ACUAAUGUAUCUUAUUAACAGUACAAGGCCUGAUAUAACUUUUUCAGUUAAUGUCUUAGCAAGAUAUACCUCCGCUCCUACAAGGAGACAUUAGAAUGGAAUCAAACACAUAUUAUGGUAUCUAAAAGAGACUACCGAUAUGAGCUUAUUUUAUGGCAAUAAUUGCAGUUUCGAUCUUGUUGGUUAUGCCGAUGCUGGGUAUUUAUCUGACCCACAUAAGGCUCGAUCUCAAACAGGCUAUGUGUUUACAUGUGGAGGUACUCAAUAUCUUGGCGAUCGACUAAGCAAUCAAUCGUGGCUACUUCAUCUAAUCAUGCUGAGAUAAUUGCUAUUCAUGAAACAAGUCGAGAAUGUAUGUGAUUGAGGUCUAUAAUACACCUUAUUCGAGACAAAUGUGGUUUGAAAUGUGACACUCUACCCACGAUUUUGUAUGAAGACAAUACAACAUGCAUAACCCAACUGAAGGGAGGAUUCAUAAAAGGAGAUAGGACAAAACACAUUUCACCAAAGUUAUUUUUUAUGCAUGAUCUUCAAAAGAAUGGUGCUAUCAAUGUGCAACAGAUUCGUUUAAGUGAUAAUAUAGUUGAUUUGUUCACCAAAUCUCUACCGACGUCAACCUUCAAGAAGCUAAUGUACAAGAUCGGGAUGCGAAGACUCAAUGAUAUGAAUUGAUGCUCUCAUCAAGGGGAGUUAAUACACAUUGUACUCUUUUUUCCUUACAAGGUUUUGUCCCGCUGGAUUUUCCUUACAAGGUCUUUAACGAGGGAACUAAAAGGCGUAUUGUUAGAUAUGUGUAUUCUUUUUCCUUUACUAGAAUUUUUUUCCCACUGAGUUUUAUUUUAGUUAAGGUUUUAAUCGAGGCACAUUAUCUGUUGAAUAGACAUUUAAUGGAGAGUGUUAUAAAUAGAGUUUUAUUUACGAUGAAUGUCUAUAUUUUGGAGAGAUUUUAGGAAUUUUACUUGGUGACUAAGUCACUCUUUUCUUAUAGAAGGGCAUAUUCCAUUGUAAUUCAUCUCAAAUAUAUAAGAAUUCUCUCUAUUUCUUUGCAAUAUCCUUCUUUAUUGUUUUAUUUCAAUAAGUUAGUUGAAGAUGAAAUUAAAAUAAAAACGGAUUCAAUUCAUUUUAAUAUACUACUCUACAAGAUACUACGCGUAGCCAUUUUUAAGACGCUUCUUAACAGAUACCACUCUUCUCCUACUGUGCUGGAACCUGGUCUUCUUCAUCUUUCGAAGUCGCAAGCUAACGUGUAAGUUCCCCUUUUCUUUUUGUCCUCAAUUAGCAAAAUCUUUCUUAUUACAGCCGAUUUCAUUUUCCAUUCAUCUCAGUUCGACAGUUUCUUGUAUUUAAUAUCAUUUUAUUUAACGUACCCCUAAAAUCUGAAUAAGUCCAGAUGGAUUUUUGAGUUAAUUUAAUUGAACAUGAUAACUAUUAUUUUUUGUAAUUAACUAUUUUUUCGGUCUGCAACAAGUAAAUUUGGGAAUAUACAACAGCUGGAUUAUUUAAAGGCUUACUCUGUACCUCAACAGGAGUAUUUACAGAUUCAAGCAUCAUGUAGUUGCACUUGCACACAGCUAAUAAACAUUUUUGUACCUUAGUUGUGAUUUAUUCCUUCUACUUCUCCUUUUGAAGGUUUAUUUUGCACUAGUAGUCUGAAGUGUAAGAUCUCAAAAACCUUAAGUCUGUUGUGAAUACAAACACGUUGGCAGCUGACAAAGAUGACAGGGAGGAUGCCACUAGUGACCAUCACAUGGAUCUGCCACUUAGGAGUUUUAGAACAGUAAUUCCUCCGGUUAAACUUGGGGAUUACGUUUGGAAAGGAGGAGGGACACGUAAGUAAAAUGACAGAGUUUGUUAGAAAGAUAAAAGCAACAGUAGUGCGGCAUUGCGAGGCAGGCAAAAAUGUUAUGAGUGAUUUCUGGUUUUCUCAUCCCUUUCUUCUGUUUCCUCAUCUCCUUCCUCUACCUAUCUUAGCUACUUUCCUUUUGCAUUUUCAUUUGUAAUUCAGUCAAUUGACUGUUGCAAGUUACUGUCCAAUUUGUAAUUGUUCUCCAGUUAACUAACAUCAAUUAGAUAGUUUGGCUACUGUUUCAUUGAGUAAUAGUUGGCAUUACAUUGGUGCUUUCAUUUUAUAGGUCUGUGAUGGAAGACCAACAACAACUCAAGGCUCUCAUUGCCGACUCGGUUCAGGAAGUGAAGGAUUCCAUUUCUAAAGAACUCGCUGAGAUUCGUGGGAUUCUCCUGGAGGUUGUCGGAAACAGAGCUCUGGCAGGUCGGGGACAAGAGGUAACCACUCUUCGUCACAAGCCGGCUUCGGUGGAGUUUGGUCAAUUUUGCGGCGAGAAUCCAGAGGCUUGGUUAUUUCAAGCGGAGCGCUACUUUGCUCAUUAUGAAAUUGCGGAUGAUGAGAAGCUCACUAUUGCAUCGUUUUACCUCGACGGCGAUGCCUUAGAAUGGUAUCGAUGGUUGUACUGGAAUAAGCAAUUGGCGGGUUGGGAGCAUUUUGCAGAGAAGGUACGGAUUCGUUUCCUUCCUAAGGGGCUCGAAUCUGCUGAAGGACGGUUGGCCAAGCUCCGGCAAAUCACCACCGUAUCUGAGUUACAAAGCCGCUUUGAGAAGAUAGCAAACGAGACUACUGACAUCUCUGAUCGGCUCUUGGUACGUCUUUUUGUUUCUGGGCUGCGUACUGAUAUUAAGAGUUCUGUUUUAGCCCAUCGGCCCACUACAUAUGAGGAUGCUGUACAUUUAGCCCAUAUUCACGAGAAACGUAUCCUAGCUGAAAAAGGCCCACCUCGCCCCGCAUUUGCCAAUAGAACUCCGCCCCUUUUACCCAACCCUGAUACAGUCCCAAAUAAUAUUUCCUCCACCUCUGUCGGCCCUUCCAAUUCACCACCGCAAAACCGCCCACCCAUUAAACGAUUAUCCCAUGCUGAACUUCAGAGCCGUCGAGAGCGGGGUCUUUGUUAUUAUUGUGAGGAAAAGUAUACCGCAGGUCAUAAGUGUAAAUCGCCUCCUCAAUUAUUGCUCCUCACCAAUGAGCCGGAGGUGGUUUUAUCCAUGCCGGAACCCUUCCUCUCUGAUGAAGUAUUGGCAGAGGAGUUGCAAUGUUUGGAGAUACAGGAACAUUCUACUAUCUCGUAUCACGCUUUAACUGGUGGUCAUUCCCCAUCUACACUCCGAUUCACUGGGCAGAUUAAUGGCUCCUCUGUUCAGGUCUUAGUGGAUGGAGGAAGUACCCACAACUUCGUCCAACUGCGAGCCGCGAAGUACUUACAACUGUUUGUGGACUCCAUUUCCCCUGUCGCUGUUAUGGUGGGUAGCGGCCAUCGCCUUAGGUGUGAGGGAGUGGCAAGGCAGACCACCCUUUUACUUCAAGGGAGCACGGUGGUAGAAGAUUUUUAUGUCCUACCAUUCGAGGGGUCUGAUGUGGUAUUAGGGGUAUCAUGGCUCGCCAAAUUAGGUCCUGUACUUACUAAUUAUGCCACUAGGGAAUUUGAGUUCAACUGGAAUGGGUGUCGAGUGAAGUGGCAAGGGGAACCCUCUAUUGAUAUUCAACCGAUACAGUUACAUAGCUUGCGAAGGAUGGCUGCCACCGACGCUAUUGCUUCAUUCUUUCAUCUGGAAAUGCUUUGUGGGGAGGUAGCAUCCGUGGUGGCACCCACUGCAGAGUUAGCGUCCCUUUUGGACUCUUUUGAGGAUGUUUUUCAAAAAACAGUGGGCUUACCACCCUCACGUGCCCAAGAUCAUGCUAUACAUCUCAUUCCGGGCGCGCAACCUGUUAAUGUGAAGCCCUACAGGUACCCCUAUUUUCAAAAGCAAAUUAUGGAACAACUAGUUGCCGAUAUGCUCAAGGAAGGUGUGAUUCGAGCAAGCGCUAGCCCUUUCUCUUCUCCAGUGCUGCUGGUCCGUAAGAAGGAUGGCACAUGGCGAUUUUGUGUCGACUAUAGAGCAUUGAAUGCACUGACCAUCCGUGAUCGCUUUCCAAUCCCUACCAUAGACGAAUUGUUUGAUGAGUUAUUUGGGGCACAAUUUUUUUCCAAGCUGGACCUUCUUUCUGGGUAUCACCAGAUAAGAGUUAAGCCCGAAGAUGUGGCUAAGACCGCAUUUCACACUCAUGAAGGUCAUUACGAAUUCCUCGUCAUGCCCUUUGGCCUUACUAACGCCCCCUCUACAUUCCAGGCGCUAAUGAAUGACAUUUUCAGACCAUGUUUACGGCGCUUUGUCUUAGUAUUUUUCGAUGAUAUAUUGGUCUAUAGUCCAGAUUGGGAGGCACAUCUGGAGCAUUUGGAACUUGUUCUGUCCUUGCUUCGAAAGUAUCAGUUGGUCGCCAAAAGAUCUAAGUGUCUAUUUGGUCAGCAGUCGGUGGAUUAUUUGGGGCACGUUAUUUAUGCUCAAGGGUUGUCUGUUGAUCCUGCCAAGAUUGCUGCAAUUCAGCAAUGGCCUAUCCCUCGCUCUGUAAAAGAUGUCCGUAGUUUUUUGGGAUUAGCCGGGUAUUACCGGCGUUACAUUCAUCAUUAUGCCGCGAUUGCCGGGCCACUUUCAGACCUAUUGCGGAAAGACUCUUUCAAAUGGAGCGAGGCAGCACAAGAAGCUUUCGAUGCAUUGAAGUCUAAGUUGGCUGCGACACCUGUUUUGACUUUGCCGAAUUUCAACCAGGAAUUCCAAUAGAGACAGAUUCUUCGGGGCAAGGCAUUGGGGCUAUCUUAUCACAAAAGGGUCAUCCUAUAGCCUAUUUCAGCCAGAAGUUGUGUCCAUGAAUGCAAAAUGUCUCGACUUAUCACAGAGAAAUGUUUUCCAUUACUCAAGCUGUGAGUAAAUGGCGACAGUAUUUGUUGUGGAGAAAAUUUACCAUUUAUACGGAUCAACAGUCCUUGAAGAAUCUCACAAAUCAGACCAUUCAAACACCUGAACAAUAGAAAUGGCUCACAAAGUUGGUGGGCUAUGAUUUUCGCAUCGUGUGUCGGCCCGACAAGCAAAACAUUGUAGCUGAUGCCCUGUCUCGUACCCCUGCUGCUUCUUUAAUGGUUCUGUCUGUCAACACCUUCGCAAUCGAACAAGAAUUGAAAGCUCUAAAUCAGUCCCACCCUGAGUUAUUAGAUAUACAGCAGCGUUUACAGCAAAAAGAUGUGAACUUCUGCGAGUAUCAAUGGAAAUAAGGUCAUCUGUUUUACAAAGGAAGAUUGGUGGUUCCUUCAGAUUCACCACUCCGCCAUAAGCUCAUGUUCGAUUUCACUCUUCAUCCAUUGGCGGCCAUGCUGGGGUAGCCCGAACCUAUCACCACUUAGCUUCCAAUUUCUUUUGGAACCACAUGCGACGAGAUGUUAAAUCCUUUGUAGCUGCAUGCCAAGUUUGUAAGCAGAUGAAGGAUACUCAUUUGCAUUCAGCGGGGUUGUUACAACCCCUUCCUAUUCCUGACCAAGUGUUUGAGGAUAUUGCAAUGGAUUUUAUCACUUGUCUUCCAAGUUCGAAAGGGAAGACUACAAUCAUGACAAUAAUUGAUCGUUUAUCCAAAUAUGGGCACUUUAUUCCAUUGCCAUCUACAUUCUCUACUCAAUUGGUUGCAGAAGCUUUUGUCGUGGGUGUAAUUCAGCUUCACGGUCCACCAAGAACUAUUGUAACUGACCGAGACCCUAGGUUCUUACACUCUUUUUGGCAAGAGCUCAAUCGCUUACAGGGAUCUACUUUGGCUAUGAGUACUGCCUAUCAUCCCCAAUCGGAUGGGCAGUCUGAAGCUCUAAACAAAUGUGUCGAGCAGUACCUCCGCUGCUAUGUUGCUGUUGUUCCUUCGCAAUGGGUAGCUAUGCUGCCGUGGGCUGAAUAUUGGUACAACACAGCCUACCAAACAUCAGCAGGGAUGACUCCGUUCCAUGCCUUGUAUGGUCGUGAACCCCCGACUAUUGCCCGUUAUAUACUAGGCAGCACUGCUAGCGGGUUGGUGGAGACUUAUUUGCUACAACGGGAUGAAGUGCUGCAGUUGCUCAAGCACAACUUGGCCAAGGCGCAAACACGCAUGAAAACUCUAGCUGACAAGUCGAGGACUGAGGUUGCCUUUGAGAUUGGGGAUUGGGUUUACGUCAAAUUAAAACCCUAUAGGCAGGUAUCCCUUCGUUUGCAAAAGGAUCACAAAUUAGGUAGACGAUACUUUGGUCCUUUCCAGGUCCUCAAAAGGAUCGGCUUAGUGGCAUAUAAGUUGGAGCUUCCAGAGGCGGCUAAGAUUCACCCUGUUUUUCAUGUCUCUACUAUGCUCAAGCGAUAUGUGGGAAGCCCAGACCAACAAAUUAUGCCGCUAAAUCUGUUUGAUUUCGCCAAUGACUCUUCCCAGCUCGAUCCAAACCUUGAGGACAAGGUUGUUUUUCAGGGAGAGAGUAAUGUUGUGAAUACAAACACGUUGGCAGCUGACAAAGAUGACAGGGAGGAUGCCACUAGUGACCAUCACAUGGAUCUGCCACGUAGGAGUUUUAGAACAGUAAUUCCUCCGGUUAAACUUGGGGAUUACGUUUGGAAAGGAGGAGGGGCACAUAAGUAAAAUGACAGAGUUUGUUAGAAAGAUAAAAGCAACAGUAGUGCGGCAUUGCGAGGCAGGCAAAAAUGUUAUGAGUGAUUUCUGGUUUUCUCAUCCCUUUCUUCUGUUUCCUCAUCUCCUUCCUCUACCUAUCUUAGCUACUUUCCUUUUGCAUUUUCAUUUGUAAUUCAGUCAAUUGACUGUUGCAAGUUACUGUCCAAUUUGUAAUUGUUCUCCAGUUAACUAACAUCAAUUAGAUAGUUUGGCUACUGUUUCAUUGAGUAAUAGUUGCCAUUACUAAGUCUAUGGAAUAUUGGAGAUUCAAACAACACUUUUUUAAGUGAAGUAUAAGGAACAAAGAAAAAAAUAGAGAAAAUUACAACAUAUUAAUCAGCACCAGCAGUUCAGGUCCUUUGCUUUUUGCUGACUAUAUGAGGCUUCUCCUCCUUGAAUUUGUGUAUUAUGGUUAGAAUGUUAGACUUUAGAUUAUGUAUAUUAUCUCACCUUAGAAAAAAAAUUAUUGUGUAGGCAUCUGUAGUAGCUUCUAUCUCUACCUUCACUAGGUAAGAGUUCUCUACCUUCACUAGGUAAGAGUAAGGUUUGCGUACACACUAUCCUCCCCAAACCCUACCCGUGGGAAUACUGGGUUUUUUGUUGUAGUUGUUGUUGUAUCUGUAGUAGCUUCUAUGUACCAAUCUCUUCACUUAUUUUUGAUAGAAUGAGCUUAAUCAAGAAUCCGAUUACUAUUUUUAUUCGCGAUUUUAGUAUUUAAGUUAUAAUAGGAUAUAGUUAAAACAAGCUAAGAGCUCGAAACUGGCAUCUAAGUCUUAAGCCCAAGUUCUGUAUUUAGAGCUAUGAUUGGACAUGUUUCUGAGCGAAAAGCUCAUGAAACUAGAAGUAUUACAAUAUAACCAAAAGUGUUUGUAAGAAGUAAUUUCUUCUCAAAUGUAUUGCUAUCCCAAAACACUGUCAAUAUAUGUUACAUUACCAUAAGUCAAAGCCUUGUAUUCAAAUGUUCGAAUACUCACUUAUCCUGCGGGCGAAGAAAUAGGUUUUUGCCUCAAUUAGAGCAAAUAUUUGUCCUAAGAAUAUCAACUAGCCACACUAUUAUAUCGGGGUUUUCUUGUUUACGGAUAGCAGAGGAGCAGUAUUCCUUUAUCAGAAGUGGUGAAGCCUUUUCAAAAAGUUUUGAUUAUAUCUGCCGUUCAUGGAUAUAGUUCAAUUGGAGCAUUUGGAUGUAUGCUUGCUUAAACUAGUAGACAUUCUGAAUAUGAGCUUGUCUUUUUCAGGGUUUGAAGUCAUUAUACGAUCAGCAAUGCCUCACAGAAGUCGGCCUAUGAGAGCACUUCUACUGUUUACCGGACUUAUAACCUGUUUGGCCAAACUUCUUUUUGGCCGAAAGUAAUUUUUUUUUUUGCCAAAAAAAUUGAGGCGUUUAGCCAAGCUUUUGGAAGGAAAAAAAAUGCUUUUGAGGAGAAGCAGAAGCAGAAAAAAGUAGUUUCUCUCCAAAAACACUUUUUUGAGAAGCAUUUUUGAGAAAAAUACACUUAGAAACAGUUUUUUAAAGCUUGGCCAAACACUAAUUGCUGCUCAGUGUUUUUCAUACUAAUUAGCCAAACACAAACUACUGCUUCUCACCAAAAGUACUUUUAAGAAAAACACUUUUGAAAAAAAGCACUUCUCAAAAUAAGCUGAUUUUUGCAGCUUGGCCAAACAGGCUAUUAACGUUGUUUUGGUCUCAACAAUAACUCCUGUCUAUGAUUUUGUAUGCUUCCAUCCUUAUUGGGAAAGAAGAGUAAGGCACCUCUUUUCCUUGUAUCCGUAUAAACUUGAAAAAUUAUUCUUUCUUUCAGCACUCAAUGGCUUAUUUACAUCUUUUAUACUUCAUUCUUGACUGUGCAUCUUCCUGCCAUGAUAUUUUACCUGAUGAGAAAUACAUUAUAAAACACAUAAAACUUGUAGUGGUUAUGCUUGUUUAAAUGAAACUUACAGUUAUCACCAGCAUUGGCCAUAUUGUUGUGGCUUAAUUUAACGGGUUAUAUAGUUAUUGGUUACUCAGAGAUCUUGCUGUGUUUAGGCCAUCACUAUUCAGUAGGGGUGUUUCUAUUUCCUGUUAAAAGUGGACUUGAAGUGGAAUUGAAUUUUUCUCAACUUUUCCGUAACCAAUUGUACGUUCAGUAUAGUCUUUUUCUCCCUCUUGUUUUGUGACACUGCAUGGUAACUGGUAACUUACUUCCGUCAUCUAUGACAGAGAGAAUGUCAGCAUCAGGAACAUGAAGCAGCGUUGAGAGGUUAAGCAUCUGUAUUAUCGAGGUUGGGGAUUAUGUUUAGCCGGUCUUUAGUUUAAAUUGGUCACAAGACAAAACGAACUUAUAGAGGAUGUUGGAGACCUAAUUUGCUUCUGGUUUUAUUGUGUACCCUUGAGUUUCCUUGGUAUUUAUUUAGAGUAAAAUCAAGCUGUGUACAAGUAUUAAGAAUUGCAAUCGGAAGGAAAGAAAUACAAAGAUGAUAUUAGCUGACCUUUUCUUUUCAAAGAGACUUGUGUUAGAGAUUGUUUGAGGAACCUCUGUUACUCCCUCUCCGUUGGUGAUUCUUUGGCUGUCAAACCCUGGAUUUGGGUGUAAUAAGAGUAGCUGAAGAAGCCUGCAUUGCUUGUUGCGGUACCACCAUAUCUAGAGAAUGACGCUAAAACUUUUCAACAUCAAUCUAUAAAGAGUAGUGUUCUUGUGCUUUAUGUGAUAAUGCAGCACCAUUGCUCACUUCUUGUCACUUAUUUAAGUGGUCACACAAG